AAAAAUCAAUAUUUAUAUUGAACAAUAACCAAAAUGAAAUAAACGACGCUAAAAAAUAGAAAAAUAUUGAAGAUAGAUAGGAUUGACACGUGAACGUAAACUUCUCAUAACCAUAAUUAACUUUUAAAUUGCUAAAUCAUGGUAUAAAACCGAGCUGCCAUAAUUUUAAUGUAACCAAAUAGUAGGCCUGAGAUUAUUCGGCCUAAACGUUAGGUUUUUAUGUGAUAAGUAAUUUUUGACCUAAAAUCUUUUUUAAAAUUGGGAUCACCUCAUCAGUAAACAAAUUAUGUAAUUAACAAUAUUUUCUUAAAAAAAUUGUUUAAGGGCCAAAAAUAUUUAUUCAAUCAAGAAUAUAAAUUUUAUUUUUCCAUACGAUAUUUCUUAAAUACUUUUCAUAUAAAUUUACCAUGCGCAAAGCUUAUCCUAGUUAUCCAUUAUUUAUUGGAUAUAUUUUUGCACUUUUGACUCAAUAAAACAUAACUACAUAAUGAUAUAUUAAUUUAGAUUUCUUUUCUCUUUGCGGAUUACAGAAUUAUUAGACUUCUCAUCCAUAAAAUUAAAACUCAAAACCAAAAUAGAAAUUUUGAUUUCCUUUUCCAACUGUUGACCAUUUUCAUUAAAUAAAUCGAAGAAUGAAAUGCAAGUAAACAUACAAAGAGAUUCAGAUUUAAAGAAAAUCGUAUGAGAUGGAUUAGAGAUCAAAGAGAUAGAGCAAUUGUUAAAAACCUGGUUCGAGAAAAAUGUUUAGACUCCUGAAGCUCUUGAUGACAUUCCUAGUAUUCAUCAUAAUCCUCAUUGAUUUUGUCAAAUUCGAAAAGAGCCAAUUGCUAUAAAUAUAUAAUCACGAUUCAGUAUAAGAGAGAGUUGUAAAACAAUACUUACACUGAAAUGUUCCAAAUAACCUUAAUAUCUUUAUGAGAUCGACACAAUGAUCUAUCAAACAACCCCAAUCGUUUUUUACAGAAUCGUUGUUUUUAGUGGUAUAAAGAAAAAAAAUUAUGGUUAAAUAUAGUUUCAUAAUAUGGUUGAGAUAGAUCAACCAUGGCCAGUUUCCUCCUUUUGCGUGAACGGUUUGGAAACCUCUCAUCAUGUUGGAGAUGGUGUGGUAUGAUUGUAUUGCAUUGCGUGGUGAUACUUGUGUGUGAUUGGUUUCUACCAAUGGGCGCUCGAUUAUUUAGAGAAGAUAUUAGGAUGAUAAACUAUGGAGGGUUUAUUAUCUCAUCGGAGGCAUUAUACAAGGGACUGCUACGGGAAAGUGAAGAUUUCAAAACAAUAAAGAGACAGAUGAUGAUGUUUCUGUAUUAUUAUAAAUUGAAUAUUUGGUAAAAAAUUUCAAUGCCAUGGAUAGUUACAACAAAACAUGUUAUCUCCUGCAGCGGAAAUGUUUGGAGCGGAUUGCAAUGUAACAGAUGGAUCGGAUCCAAUGAUCUUCUUAAAAGAAAAUGACAUUUACUCACAAUAAUUGAGAGCCACAAGAAAGAUCUUUUAAGACCAAGAACGAAGUGGAGGAAAGCUAGCGAAUCAGUCUAUCCUACGAAUGCGUUAGGAAGCACCGUGUUACUGCUGUCUCUGCUAUAUGUUUUUCUUAACAACAUAUUUGUUGUAAUUUAUGAUUCAUGUAAUAUGUUUACAAUGAUUUGAAAUCAAUAAAGUUAGAUGUCUUAAAAUAUAUAUAUAUAUAUAUGGUUGAGAUAGUGGGAAAUAAAAAAAGUUAUAGAGAUAGUGGUUGGUCUGAGACUUAUUAUCCGAGAUCCGGAUUCGAUCCGAGAUCCACUCCGGAUCCGCUCCGAAAAUAGAAUAUCUGAAGUGUCUGUAUCCGGAUAGUCUUGGAUAUAUCCAAACUGAAUCCGGAUAUCUUAAUUUUUAGGUUCGGAUAUCCGGAUCCGGAUCCGUAUUUUUAAACGUAUUAAAUUUUUAAUUUUCAUUAAUAUUUAUAUUUAAUAUAUUAAUAUUUAUACAUGAAUUAAUCUUAUAAUAUUAUAUUUUAGUUUUUACAAUAUUAUAGACAUAUAUAAAUAUAUUUAUAAAUCUUAUAUAAAUAUUUAAUUUAUGUAUUAUAUUAAGAAUUAUUUUUUAAAAAAAAUAUUAUGUUUAAUUAUUUUUACGGAUCCGGAUAUCCGCGGAUAAUAGAAUAUCGAGACGGAUAUCCGAAAUCCGGAUAUCCAGAAACCACAUAUCUGUAUCCAGAUAUUAAAUCUAAAACGGAUAUGGAUCCAGAUACUUUAAAUUCUCCAGAUACCCGGAUCCCUUCCAGGUCUAGAUAGUGGAAACAAUUUUAUCUAAAAAGUUGUUUGUUUCUGAAAUAAAAAUAAAAAAAAUAACUUUAAAAAAAUUAAAUGAUACAUGUCACUCAAAUAAUUGUUGACCUCUGUUUUAUUGUAUAAAGAUCUGUGAUAUUUAUACCUUCAAUAGUUGUCAGCACAGCAGCACUGAGUAGAAUUGGAUUCUUGUGAAUCAUUUCAGCGCCUUUAGAAUAUAUUUUUUUUCAAGUUAUCCGACCCAUGUUUAUUUUGACACAGAUUCUUCUUUUUAUUAUAUACUUUUUUUACUGAACAAAAAAAAAUCAACUAGAGGACAUCAGUAGACUACUCCGACUCAGUGGUUCCGAUCAUGGCCGACGAGGCAAGAGAAACCCUUCUGGAGGAGAAAGAAGACAAUAACUGCCCAGGCUGUAACAUCGACCGACUCAAGCAAGAACAGCGAGGAAUCCCUUACAUCCACCUCUCCUUCAUCUGGCUCGUCUCUCUCUGCACCGCUCUCCCGAUAUCUUCCCUGUUUCCAUAUCUCUAUUUCAUGAUCAGAGACUUCCAUGUAGCUGAAAAAGAAGAGGAUAUUGGUUUCUAUGCUGGUUUUGUUGCAUCAUCUUUCAUGAUCGGAAGAGCUCUGACGUCUAUUCUCUGGGGGAAACUAGCUGAUCGAUAUGGUCGCAAACCUAUCAUCCUCAUGGCGACUUUCUCUGUGAUCAUAUUCAAUACCUUGUUUGGUUUAAGCACAAGCUUCUGGUUUGCUAUUUCAGUUAGAUUUCUUCUCGGCUGCGUCAAUUGUCUACUCGGAGUAAUAAGAGCAUAUGCUUCAGAAGUCGUUAGUGAAGAGUAUCACGCUCUUAGUCUUUCUGUUGUAAGUACAUCGAGAGGUAUAGGACUGAUAAUAGGUCCUGCUAUUGGAGGCUAUCUUGCUCAGCCUGCAGAGAAGUAUCCUAAUAUAUUUUCACUGGAUUCAGUUUUUGGAAGCUUUCCAUAUUUUCUGCCGAGCUUAGUUAUAUCAGUCUAUGCUAUUGGGGCUCUCAUUGCAUGCUGGUGGCUGCCUGAAACACUUCAUACGCAUUGCAGAAUUUCACGCGGGAGGCUAAAUCCAAAUGAACCUGAAUAUUCACCAAAUGAACUAAACAAUGAUGGAAGUACAGGUAGAGGACUCGAAGACCAUAACACACAAAGCAAGCCAAGUCUCCUGAGGAACCGUCCGUUGAUGGCUAUCAUCAUUGUGUAUUGUGUUUUUUCCCUCCAGGAGAUAGCUUAUUCAGAGAUAUUUUCACUCUGGGCUGUUAGCGACAAAAGUUAUGGAGGAUUGAGCUUCUCGUCUCAAGAUGUUGGCCAAGUUUUAGCUAUAUCAGGACUUGGGCUUCUGUUGUUUCAACUUAUGGUAUACCCUCCGAUGGAGAAGAGCCUGGGACUCCUUGUGGUUAUACGUCUUUCCGCGGUGAUGCUAAUACCGCUGCUUUCUUGUUACCCGUCUAUAGCUUCGCUUUCAGGGUUGACCCUCCAUUUAGUGAUAAACUGUGCAUCUAUCUUGAAAAACGCGUUGUCUAUCUCUCUUGUUACAGGACUGUUUAUCUUGCUCAACAAGGCGGUGGUAUGGUUCUUGGGCCAGUGUACCACAUACCCUUUUCCGUCUUGUUUUACCACAGAGUCAGAGAGGUGCUGCUAAUGGACUUUCUAUGACCGCAAUGUCUAUUUUCAAAUCAUUUGGCCCUGCCGGUGGAGGAAUCUUAUUCUCUUGGGCGCAAAAGAGACAGACUGCGACUUUCCUUCCAGGUGAUGAGAUGGUGUUCUUUGUGCUGAAUUUGGUACAACUCAUAGGAUUAAUUCUAACUUUCAUACCGUACAUUUCUCAGAACCAAUAAAAAGGUUAAUUAUACUCUACAUAGGUGAGAAAUAAAUGGGAAGUUCAUUAUAGACUAUAUAUAAAGUGUUCAUCUAUUUUUAACAUUCCCCUCCCCCUCCCCCUCCCCCUCCCCAAGUGUUUAUCCAUGAUUCAAUAGCAAACGAAUGACUAAUGUUACGGUGUAUUCAUAUUUACAUAAUAUAUUUGGGUAUGUUUAUUUC